UACGUAGGGUGCAAGCGUUGUCCGGAAUUAUUGGGCGUAAAGAGCUCGUAGGCGGCUUGUCGCGUCGGAUGUGAAAGCCCGGGGCUUAACCCCGGGUCGGCAUUCGAUACGGGCAGGCUAGAGUUCGGUAGGGGAGAUCGGAAUUCCUGGUGUAGCGGUGAAAUGCGCAGAUAUCAGGAGGAACACCGGUGGCGAAGGCGGAUCUCUGGGCCGAUACUGACGCUGAGGAGCGAAAGCGUGGGGAGCGAACAGG
rnacentral:rRNA from 1 species